UAUGUCAAACACCAGCAGGCUUCGAAACAUUUCAAGCGGAGUGUUAGGGCCGCUGCUGGGAACUUCUGUCUUCGUGAAGAGGUCCUGUACCAUGGGAACAGAAGGCUCAUUUGGACAGAGGAGGAGAAAGUGGCUGUGUUAACCGAAGCCCAUGCAGGCCAUUUUGGACCACGGAGGAUGCAAGCGAAGAUUGCUCCCCGGUUUUAUUGGCGGUCCAUCACACAGGACACAUUGGAUUGGGUGCGCACAUGUCCUGACUGCCAGCGCUUUGAAAAGUUAAAGACCGAGGCGCCUGAGCUGAAGCCCGUCAAGGUCGUAUCACCUUGGUACAUGGUUGGCCUUGAGGGACAUUUUCUUUACUCAUGGUUUGCCUGAAGUUAUCUUCACUGACCAGGGCACUGAAUUCAAGAAAGAGAGUUAUGGAGGUUCUUCCAAACAAUAUGGUUAGGCUGGAGACCCUGGAUGGAAAGCCCAAGCAUAUGAUGACCCCGUAUGCAUCACUGAAACCUCUGCGCCCGAGGACUCACCCUGGCUGGCCAAAGGAUUCCCCUUCAGCCCCUGUGCUUCCAGGAGAUGCUGAAAUGCUGACUUCCUUCAUCAUCGGAGGAGGAAACUGAGUGUCAUUGUUUCACGGACCAUACUUUUGCUGGCCCCACAUCACCCUGGAAAAAAGAGCUGCACCCCGACCAGAAACAACUGCUCGAGUAUGUUUUGGCCUGCGAUCGUCCAGCUACGGAGCUGAUCGUUAAAGAGGGAGGGGUGUGUUUAACCCGAGAAGAGUUUUGGUCUCUCGGGUUGUCCAGAGACAUGGACUCCACGGGCAAAGAUGUCUUCAUUGCCAACAUGUAUAUUGUACCAACGUGGAAGCACAAAGACGUCGAUCCAAUGUCAAGCCUUCCAAGGGAUGCACAUCUAAAGGAUGCACUCCUCUUCCCAGCGUGGAGCAAGCACAACGGGCCAGAGCAUUCCCUUCUCUGUGUAAGUGUUGAAAAGAAAAAUACUGGAGAUAUCUUAUAAUUCUUGUGCAAUUACAUUAUUUAUGCCUCUUUCUGCAUUGACCAUUAUAGGUGUUGAG